rnacentral:RNase_P_RNA from 1 species
GGAGUGGGGCGGGUGGCCGCUGGCCUGGAAGUCGAGAGGCUGGAGGAAAGUCCGGGCUCCACAGGGCAGGAUGCCGGAUAACGUCCGGCGGGGGCGACCCCAGGGAAAGUGCCACAGAGAGCAGACCGCCGGUCGGGACUUGAUCCACCGGCAAGGGUGAAAGGGUGCGGUAAGAGCGCACCGCGCCUCCCGGUAACGGGAGCGGCAUGGUAAACCCCAUCCGGAGCAAGACCAAAUAGGGGGACGUUAUCGGGUGGCCCGUCCAGUCCCCGGGUAGGUUGCUAGAGGUGGCCGGUAACGGUCAUCCCAGAGGAAUGGUCACCACCCACCCAUCCUGGGAAGGUGGGCGGGAACAGAACCCGGCUUACAGCCCCACUCCGGCC